AAAUAAAUGAUGAUACUGUUGGAAUUACCGUUUGAAAUUUUUCAUUUAUGAUGAAAAUUCAACUGGCUGCUAUAUUUGUA
rnacentral:snoRNA from 1 species